rnacentral:rRNA from 1 species
CCUACGAGGGGCAGCAGUAGGGAAUCUUCCACAAUAGACGAAAGUCUGAUGGAGCAACGCCGCGUGAGUGAAGCAGGGUUUCGGCUCGUAAAGCUCUGUUGGUAGUGAAGAAAGAUAGAGGUAGUAACUGGCCUUUAUUUGACGGUAAUUACUUAGACAGUCACGGCUAACUACGUACCAGCAGCCGCGGUAAUACGUAGGUGGCAAGCGUUGUCCGGAUUUAUUGGGCGUAAAUCGAGUGCAGGCGGGUCAAUAAGUCUGAGGUGCAAGCCUUCGGCUCAACCGGAGAAUUGCACCAGAAACUGUUGAACUUGAGUGCAGAAGAGGAGAGUGGAACUCCAUGGGUAGCGGUG